rnacentral:lncRNA from 1 species
UAUUUAUUAUUUGUUUAUAGAUUUAUUAACAGUGGAAGCUGCAGAUGGCAAUAUUUAUAGCGCACAAGCGCUUCUUACUGCUGUAGUAGCGUCAUGCUUAGUUACAUUAAUGGUUGGCUUUGUAAUCGGAUACCUAUUUUCUCGGCGAUUUCGUCACCCAUUUUUUACCGAUACCUCACCAUUCAAUGAACAACACAAUCAUUUAAACAGAUUAAGUCCUUUGGAAACUCCGUUGAAUGUGAAUUCUGGAUAUAUGCCACCUAGAUCCAAAAAUGUGAAUAUGGUAGCGAACGUAUGCCCACUCGCAAAACAAGAUAAUUUGCACAUUGAACUUGGUAAGGAGCGUGCUCUCGAUCUUCGCAAUUCUACGGAAUCUCUCGACAAGGAUCUAAAAUGCGGCACUUUACAAAAAGUUAAAAAGACUUACAUAUGAAAUAUACCCGAAAAGACAGUGUAUGGAACUAUUUCAAAGUGAUAGUAUGAAUUAUGACAUUGUAUCGCGUGUGCCAAGUCUUCCGAGCCAAUCGGUGAGAUCAGCAAGUGUAGUUUGCAUUGAUCGUUGUGAACGUGAAAGUGACUCUUUCUCAUGUAAAUAAUAAAAAUAUAUUUUAUAUUGUUGUACAGUUUACAUAGUUUAAAUAUUGACAUACUAGUUUUAAAAUACAAAGAAACUGCAAUCGUAAAUACCUACGUGCAUUUAUGUGUGUUAAUUUAAAUCCAUUAAAUAUUUCAUCUACGAGAACAUCUAAGUUUGUGAAAUUUGUAUAAAUUAUCAAAAAUUGGACUACGAAAGUAAAAAUUAAAAUAUUUUAUGAUGCAUAUAAAUGUAACCAUAGUAAAGAAUAUAAUCUUUUCAGUAUUAACAACCGUGUCCAUUGUAAAUCGGUAAAGCUAUUAUAACAGCUAAUACAUUCCACAUUUACGUAGAUAUAUAAUUUCGCUACGCCGCUCUGUAAAUAUAAAUAUGUAUAUAAUGCUAAUAUAUAGCGAAAUAGUGGAUUUCAUAUACAUAGGAAAUUAGUUCAAAUAUCAAAAAUCGAAAUAAUACUUAGGAAAAAGUAAUCGUAAGUCUCAUAUCUAGCGAAAUUUAUUUUUAAUGUUUCGGCAAAAAAAUGAGCGAAACAAGCUAUAAGCAAAUAAAACAUGUAAUUAAAAUGAAGUAAAACAAUUGAUUACAUAAAAAAAUUAAAGAUUGUUGUUGUUACUCUAGAUUAAAAUUGCUGUGCUAAGUGCAUAGUGCCUUGUAGGUUGCCAAUCUAGUGCCUAAUGUAAUUUAGGAAGCAUAAAAUGAAUAGAAUAUGUUUAAUCAUCUGUUAAUACAUGUUUUAAAGUUUGCGAAGCUUUUAAGAAUUCCCGAUAGUCCAUAUAUGUUUUCUCCAUUCUUCCCUUACGCAUAGCACUUAAAUUUUUAUAGCUUAACAUUAUUGUGUCGAUUCAAACCUACUAAGAGUAUGGUUUCGAUUUUGAUUCAUUAAAGUAAUGAAUAAAUUCAAAUAUUUAUAAUUGUAUAAAAAGAACAAGUUAACAAUAUUUUGAUACUAAUGAAAAGAAAGGCUAAUUGUACCACCUGAGAAAUCAGAGAUCUAUAAAAAUUAAUAAGUAUUCCCACCGUGACUCAAAGGUUAUUUAAUUAACAGAAUUUAUUUCUGUUUAUUGAUAUUUUAAAGUUUUUUUUUUAUUAUUUUAGAUAUAAAGUGUUAGUUUACUAUUAGGGCACCCUUAAAAAUAAUUUAGAUUUUUUUAUCAAUGUGUGGCAUGGUAUCAUUGUAAAAUCAUACAUGUUAAAACAUACACGCAUUUUAUACAUUUCAAUUAAAAUGACUGUGUACUCCAAGAAUAUGUAUUAUUUAUAUUCUUUGUAUUAAAUAAAUGAAUUAAAAAAAAG